CCUACGGGUGGCAGCAGUGGGGAAUAUUGGUCAAUGGGCGAAAGGCUGAACCAGCCAAGUAGCGUGAGGGAAGACUGCCCUAGGGGUUGUAAACCUCUUUUAUGCGGGGACAAAGGGGUCCACGCGUGGACGUGGGCAGGUACCGCAUGAAUACGGACUGGCUAAUUCCGUGGCAGGCGGCGAGGGAAAACGGGAGGUCCGGGCGUUAAUCGGAUUUUUUGGGGUUAAAGGGAGCGUAGGCCGGUGUUUAAGCGUACCGUGAAAUUUUGGGGCCUCACCCUGGGCGUGCGGUGCGAACUGGAGUCCUUGAGUGCGCGAGAGGUAGGUGGAAUUCGUGGUGUAGCGGUGAAAUGCUUAGAUAUCACGAAGAACCCCGAUUGCGAAGGCAGCCUACCGCAGCGUUACUGACGCUGAAGCUCGAAAGCGUGGGUAUCGAACAGGAUUAGAUACCCCAGUAGUC
rnacentral:rRNA from 1 species